AUGGGCCCCCGGCUCCUGGGCUGGGUCCUGCUUUGGCUCCUGGGAGCAGGCCCCGUAGAAGCCGACGUGACCCAGAGCCCGACACACCGCAUCACAGAGACCAGGAAGAAGCUGACAGUGACUUGUUCUCAGAAUAUGAACCACGAUGCUAUGUACUGGUAUCGACAAGACCCAGGGCUGGGUCUCAGGCUGAUCUACUUCUCACAGAAUGUUAAUUUUACUGAAAAGGGAGAUAUCCCUGAUGGGUACACUGUUUCUCGGAAAGAGAAGAAGGAUUUCUCCCUGACCCUGGAGUCGGCCAGCAUCACCCAGACCUCCUUGUACCUCUGCGCCAGCAGCUUACACAGCUGCCUUCCGCUCUACAACCCUCCUUGGGACCUGAACAUGUCCUACGCUGACUCACCCCUGGGUCUUCACCAAGAAUGUUCCCUCUACCUGGACACCUAA